rnacentral:rRNA from 1 species
GACGAACGCUGGCGGCGUGCCUAACACAUGCAAGUCGAGCGGAGUUUUUUGAGUUGAGACCUUCAGGUGGAUUCUUAAGAAACUUAGCGGCGGACGGGUGAGUAACGCGUGGGCAAUCUGCCUCUUACAGGGGGAUAACACAGGGAAACCUGUGCUAAUACCGCAUAAAAUCACAGUACCGCAUGGUACAAUGAUCAAAGAUUUAUCGCUUGAAGAUGGACUCGCGUCUGAUUAGCUAGUUGGUGAGGUAACGGCUCACCAAGGCGACGAUCAGUAGCCGACCUGAGAGGGUGACCGGCCACAUUGGGACUGAGACACGGGCCCAAAACUCCUACGGGAGGCAGCAGUGGGGGAAUAUUGCACAAUGGGCGGAAAGACCUGAUGCAGCGACGCCGCGUGAAGGAAGACGGUCUUCGGUUGGUAAAC